rnacentral:lncRNA from 1 species
UUCUAAAGAUCACCCUUGAAGAAUAUGAUAAAUAAAUGCUUGUGGGAAGUAAGAGUCCCACGUCGAUUUAGAACUAAAUAUUAGAUGGGUUUAUAUACAAUUAUAUUACUCUUGGAUUUGAACCCCAAGGGGCAUCUCACUUUUGUAGAGGAAAGAUGACCUAACCAAUCAAUUUUUGCAUGAUGAGUAGUUAACCAAUCAAUCCCUAGAAUCACAUCAAAUGCAAGUAUUUUCAAUGAAAUAAUAUCGACAGGUAAUGUGAGGGUACCGAUUUGAACCAAACAAGACUUAUAAACAGUGGAUGUAAUGGAG